UACGUGAGGUGCAAGCGUUGUCCGGAAUUUAUUGGGCGUAAAGGAGCUCGUAGGCGGUCUGUCGCGUCUGCUGUGAAAACUAGGGCUUAACCCUGAGCUUGCAGUGGGUACGGGCAGACUAGAGUGCGGUAGGGAGACUGGAAUCGUGGUGAUGAGCGGUGAAAUACGCAGAUAUCGAGGAGGAACACCGGUGGCGGAAGGCGGCACUCGUGGGCCGGAUGAACUGACCGUGGAGGAAGCGGAAAGCGUGGGGA
rnacentral:rRNA from 1 species